CAGUCGCCGCGGGAAUACGUAGGUGGCAAGCGUUGUCCGGAAUUAUUGGGCGUAAAGCGCGCGCAGGUGGUUUAAUAAGUCUGAUGUGAAAGCCCACGGCUCAACCGUGGAGGGUCAUUGGAAACUGUUAAACUUGAGUGCAGGAGAGAAAAGUGGAACUCCUAGUGUAGCGGUGAAAUGCGUAGAGAUUAGGAGGAACACCAGUGGCGAAGGCGGCUUUUUGGCCUGUAACUGACACUGAGGCGCGAAAGCGUGGGGAGCAAACAGGAUUAGAUACCCGCGUAGUCCCUGUCUCUUAUAC
rnacentral:rRNA from 1 species